AAUAACAACAUAAUAAUAGGUCAUUUUAAAUUGAGACAUCAAGCAGGAAAUUCAUAUUAGCUGUAAUUUCAAACUUAGUUGUUUAAAUGUGCCCUAUAAAACAAAGUUUCAAUGUUCUAACUGCAAAAUUUUCAUAAUGCUUUAUUUAACAAAACUAAUUUUGUUUAUUAUAAUCAGUAUGUUUGAAAUAAAAUGUAUUGAAUGGAAAAAACAAACAACUUAUUCGGUAAAACUUGAAAGAGUAAAUUUGGAUAAUUAUGAUCGCCAAUAUUAUCAUCUGGUAGAAUUCAAGUCGUUCAAAAUAAAUCGCAAAAACUUCGCUUUCAACUACACCCAACAUCUGAAACGUUCUUACAAUUGGACAGAUAAGGUUUCGGUGCAUAUAAGAGUAUUACGUAGUGUGAGUAAUGAAUACCGACUGAACCUUGUGCAUUUGGAAUUUCAUUAUUGUGAAAUGAUCAAACGAAGGUUUUUCAACGUAAUGGAAUUGCAGUUUUUGAAUGGCACAGAAGUCACAUCAUGUCCUCUCCAACCAAUCCGUUAUAUAAGCAACAAUCAACAAUUUCGGGACGAUAAU